CUCUUCGGGGCGAGCCGGGUGGCGCUGGAGCCGCGCCCUGCUGAGCGAGCGAGCCGGCCGGGGACGGUUUCGGGUCGGGACUCCGGCUUCGGGAACGGGCCUCUGGAAACCUGCGACGUCAGUCCUUACCCGCCCGCGGCUGCCGCGGACCGUCCCACCCCCAAACCCGUAGAAGCCCCUCCGACCUGCAACCUCCAGCCGCCCGGCCCUAGGACUUGAGCGGCUCCCUGGCCGGUGCGGAACCUGCGGGCUAAUAAUCUAGCGACCGGGAGAACGCCAAACAUCCCUGGACUAGAAGUUGCAGGGGAAAUCAAACAGCCCAGAAAGUUUAUUCUCCUUGCUGGUAUUUCUUCCACUUGCUAUUUUGCUGAGAGAUGCAUGCAAACUACCCUUAGACUUUCAGAUGCAGUGCGUUUUACUUAGCCGUGCCUGACAAACACACAGAACUUUUACCGUCUGGUAGAUCCGCCUUGACUUUACCAGCGAAUACUAAAGUCACUUAAAAAAAAAUCACAAGGCUCGAAAACAGCAGCAUUAGAAGUAGACUUUAUGGUACUCUGCUCAGCUAUGUUCUCAUUUGAUUCCAACCACUACACGGCAGAAAAGGAAAGAAGACUGAAUAAUGAUUGGAAGAACGCCGGAGUCAUCAAGCUCUUUUGAUAACUGCAUAUGUGAACUAGGUCAAGUCACUCUCCCUCAACGGAUCACCAGUUUACCCAACUGUAAAUGGCAACAAUUUUGAACUGAACGUUCUUCCUUCUACAGCCAAAAUUCUUCGUUUGCUAGGUUUGUGAAGUGCUUUUAUAUGUAUGAGCGCUUUCUUAACUAUGAAGAUAUCUGAGUCAUCGAACUUUUGGUGGGGGCAAUCUCAUGAUCAGUCAUGACUAGAUUUUAGAGUUUUCUCAUCCCCAUACUCAAAGUUUUUUUUUUAAGAAUAAAAAUGAAAAGAAACAAUACCCCACAAUAUUUCUGAGCCUCAAAGGACAGACUAAAAAAGCUAACUUUUAAAAUACUUCAUUUUGAAAUAAUUUUGAACUUACAAAAAAAUCGCAAAAAUAAUACCUGGAGUCCCUGUAUA
rnacentral:lncRNA from 1 species